CCUACGGGGAGCAGCAGUGGGGAAUAUUGGACAAUGGGCGAAAGCCUGAUCCAGCCAUGCCGCGUGUGUGAAGAAGGCCUUCGGGUUGUAAAGCACUUUCAGUGGGGAAGAAAGCCUUGGGGCUAAUACCCUCGAGGAAGGACAUCACCCACAGAAGAAGCACCGGCUAACUCCGUGCCAGCAGCCGCGGUAAUACGGAGGGUGCGAGCGUUAAUCGGAAUUACUGGGCGUAAAGCGCGCGUAGGCGGUCUGAUAAGCCGGUUGUGAAAGCCCCGGGCUCAACCUGGGAACGGCCUCCGGAACUGUCAGGCUAGAGUGCAGGAGAGGAAGGUAGAAUUCCCGGUGUAGCGGUGAAAUGCGUAGAGAUCGGGAGGAAUACCAGUGGCGAAGGCGGCCUUCUGGACUGACACUGACGCUGAGGUGCGAAAGCGUGGGUAGCAAACAGGAUUAGAUACCCUGGUAGUC
rnacentral:rRNA from 1 species